UCCACGCAGUAAACGAUGAAUACUAACUGUUUGCGAUACACAGUAAGCGGUACAGCGAAAGCGUUAAGUAUUCCACCUGGGGAGUACGUUCGCAAGAAUGAAACUCAAAGGAAUUGACGGGGGCCCGCACAAGCGGAGGAACAUGUGGUUUAAUUCGAUGAUACGCGAGGAACCUUACCCGGGCUUGAAAUGCAGACGACCGAAGUGGAAACACUUCUUCCAGCAAUGGCGUCUGUGUAGGUGCUGCAUGGUUGUCGUCAGCUCGUGCCGUGAGGUGUCGGCUUAAGUGCCAUAACGAGCGCAACCCUUAUCAUUAGUUGCCAGCGGGUCAUGCCGGGAACUCUAGUGAGACUGCCACCGUAAGGUGUGAGGAAGGUGGGGAUGACGUCAAAUCAGCACGGCCCUUACGUCCGGGGCGACAC
rnacentral:rRNA from 1 species